UACGUAGGUGGCAAGCGUUGUUCGGAAUUAUUGGGCGUAAAGCGCGUGUAGGCGGCUUUGCAAGUCGGGUGUGAAAGCCCUCAGCUUAACUGAGGAAGUGCGCCCGAAACUGCUUGGCUUGAGUACCGGAGAGGAUGGCGGAAUUCCCCAAGUAGAGGUGAAAUUCGUAGAUAUGGGGAGGAACACCGGUGGCGAAGGCGGCCAUCUGGACGGAUACUGACGCUGAGACGCGAAAGCGUGGGUAGCAAACAGG
rnacentral:rRNA from 1 species